rnacentral:lncRNA from 1 species
AAUACAUUGUUUUAUGACGUGGGAAACUCAACCCGAAACCAAACGUACAAUCCAAAACCAAACGUACAAUCCGAAACCAACUCAAAUUACUCAGCUAAAGCAAAAUGUCCGAAACCAAUUCGGAUUACUCAGCUAUAGCAAAAUGCUAUCAGAAGUGCUGCCUCUCAGGAUCUUAGCUUCAUAUGUACACAUAACAAAUACGUAUGACAUUUGGGAAGAAGACUACCAACUCAAGACAGUUCUUCGAAUGCUGCAGUUUCGAAUUGUACGCACCCUCCAUCUCAUACUGCAAUCGGAAGGGAGUACAAAAUUGUGUUGAAUUCGAUGAAGAA